AACCUUACCUACUCUUGACAUCCAGAGAACUUUCCAGAGAUGGAUUGGUGCCUUCGGGAACUCUGAGACAGGUGCUGCAUGGCUGUCGUCAGCUCGUGUUGUGAAAUGUUGGGUUAAGUCCCGCAACGAGCGCAACCCUUAUCCUUUGUUGCCAGCGGUCCGGCCGGGAACUCAAAGGAGACUGCCAGUGAUAAACUGGAGGAAGGUGGGGAUGACGUCAAGUCAUCAUGGCCCUUACGAGUAGGGCUACACACGUGCUACAAUGGCUGCAUACAAAGAGAAGCGACCUCGCGAGAGCAAGCGGACCUCAUAAAGCGCUCUAUCCGGAUUGGAGUCUGCAACUCGACUCCAUGAAGUCGGAAUCGCUAGUAAUCGUAGAUCAG
rnacentral:rRNA from 1 species